GAAUCCAGCGCCCGCCCGCUCGCCUGCCCCCGGCGCACACCGGGCCCUACCGCUCGCCCCCCCCCGUGCUACGCGAGCCCCCGCAGGAGCUCCCCCGGGCCCCGGCAGCCCCGCGGGAACGCCCGGACCGCGGCGAGGGAGCGGCCGGGGCAGCGCGGCAGGGCCGAGACCACUUUCAUUGCCUGAAGAAGAAUUAUGAGCAAGAUAUGCAGUUUUUUACCCUUCUUAUUUCUGGAAGUUAAACACAGAACAGGUAGAACAGCUUUACUGAUUUUUAGUGACUGUUGGCAUAAAAAUUGGUUAUAUUUCAAUCCAUUAUCUCAAUAUUUUUUGUUUUAUCAUCUUGAAUAAGUAGCUGGAUAGCAAUUUAAAAAUAGAUAGAUGUUUGGCAUUUGGAAAAAAAAUUCUGUCAUGUAAUGAUUGAAUGAGACUAUAAUGUCUGUUAAAAUAAUAAAAAAUCUUUAAGUCUGCUGAGCUGAUAUGCCUAGCAGCAAUGUCAUUUCAGUUCUCUCCCUGCUAACUCCUUUAUUCAUCAUCUCUCCUUUUAUGCUUAAAAGAAGAUCCUUUAAGAUCAGAGAAUUUAGGUAUAAAUGGUCUCUGGUCUCAUAAUUUUGAUAUUUUCACAGUCAAAAUUGAAUUUGGACCAACUACUUCAUUAAUGCCAUGGGGGUUUUUGACUGUUACUACCAUGUGAAUCACUUAAAAUUGAAUAAAAAAGUGUAUCUCUCUUUUACAUAUGCCAAAUUUAAUGUGAAUUCUUGAAAGUAACUUUGAGGAAAAAUCAUUACAUUUAGUCAAUAAAAAUUAGGAUUCAGUAAGUCAAGUCAGGCAGCAGCAGUGGUUUUCAAACAGUUCUACAUUAAUGACCAAGAUCUCUGCCAAGAACUUCAUGAUGAAUCUUUUGGAAUUAAAAUGCAAAAUAGGAUGAGAUAAAGAGAAGGUUAAAGAGAACUUGGGUGAGACCUUAUCAGGUAAGAUUUUUCAUUACUCUCCUCUUGUGUAAUUUUUACUUUGAGUGCAAAUGGAUUGUAAAAGUUAAUGAUUUAAGAACAGCAGAAUCCCAUUAUGAAAUCCUGCUCAGUGUUUAAAUACAGCUUGAAAGAUUAAGAACAGGUGAUUCAUGCACUAUGUGUUGAAAAGUAGAUUAAUUACUAGUUUUCUGAUACAUUCUAUAAGAAUUUGUGAAUAAAAGUGCAGGACUCUAUUGGUUCUAUAGAAAAAAUGAAACCAUAUGUAAUUUGUACCAUUAUACUGACUUGAUCAUUACUAAUGAAAAGUAAAAAAAAAAUGGUGUCUCACUAGCUUGUAAAAUUUCUCAAAUACACACUUCUUCUGAAAUCUAGAGCUUGAGAAUUGUUAAAUAAGAACCUGACUUGGGCCAUUAAUAAACACUAUCUGUUCAAUGGUCAUAUAAGAUUUUUACAUUGAGAAAGAUCGUUUCAAUGCUAAAUUUUAUGGAUAGACUUUUAAAACCAAACAAUAUUCUCCCUUUUUUGAAGUGUUGUGACUGGUUGAAAUGUGUGCUUUUUCAUAGAGAGAGCCAGACAAUACCAUUUUUAGCAGUGUUUAUUUUUGUAAAAAAAAAAAGAAACCAAUGAAUUUGAAAGGAAGUCAUAUCUGUCUUUUGAUUGCACACUUUUUAAACAAAAA